ACCAUGCAAGUCGAGCGGUAAGGCCCUUCGGGGUACACGAGCGGCGAACGGGUGAGUAACACGUGAGCAACCUGCCCCUGACUCCGGGAUAAGCGGUGGAAACGCCGUCUAAUACCGGAUACGACCUGUCACCUCAUGGUGGCGGGUGGAAAGUUUUUCGGUCGGGGAUGGGCUCGCGGCCUAUCAGCUAGUUGGUGGGGUAAAGGCCUACCAAGGCGAUUACGGGUAGCCGGCCUGAGAGGGCGACCGGCCACACUGGGACUGAGACACGGCCCAGACUCCUGCGGGAGGCAGCAGUGGGGAAUAUUGCGCAAUGGGCGAAAGCCUGACGCAGCGACGCCGCGUGGGGGAUGACGGCCUUCGGGUUGUAAACCUCUUUUACCACCAACGCAGGCUCCCAGUUCUCUGGGGGUUGACGGUAGGUGGGGAAUAAGGACCGGCUAACUACGUGCCAGCAGCCGCGGUAAUACGUAGGGUCCGAGCGUUGUCCGGAAUUAUUGGGCGUAAAGAGCUCGUAGGCGGCGUGUCGCGUCUGCUGUGAAAGACCGGGGCUUAACUCCGGUUCUGCAGUGGAUACGGGCAUGCUAGAGGUAGGUAGGGGAGACUGGAAUUCCUGGUGUAGCGGUGAAAUGCGCAGAUAUCAGGAGGAACACCGGUGGCGAAGGCGGGUCUCUGGGCCUUACCUGACGCUGAGGAGCGAAAGCAUGGGGAGCGAACAGGAUUAGAUACCCUGGUAGUCCAUGCCGUAAACGUUGGGCGCUAGGUGUGGGGACUUUCCACGGUUUCCGCGCCGUAGCUAACGCAUUAAGCGCCCCGCCUGGGGAGUACGGCCGCAAGGCUAAAACUCAAAGGAAUUGACGGGGGCCCGCACAAGCGGCGGAGCAUGUUGCUUAAUUCGACGCAACGCGAAGAACCUUACCAAGGUUUGACAUCACCCGUGACCUGCAGAGAUGUGGGGUCAUUUAGUUGGUGGGUGACAGGUGUGCAUGCUGUCGUCAGCUCGUGUCGUGAGAUGUGGUAAGUCCCGCAACGAGCGCAACCUAUUCCAUGUUGCCAGCACGUAAUGGGUGGGGA
rnacentral:rRNA from 1 species